GGAAACUGGAUGUUCUCCUAAAACAGCCACCUAGCCAAGCUGAACCAACAGAGAUGUAUUGAUCACCGGGUCAAUGGAACUAGGUGGGUGCUGGGGGGAAAGUCAGCAGGUAAGUCAGGUGAGGACUGCCUCCCUUCCACUCCCCACCCAGAGACUGAAGACAGACAGACAGACAGAGGCGUUCAUUCAGAAAGAAGUAGGAGGGCUUCAGGGAUUCAGCGGAGGAGACUGAAAGCCUGAGAGACGAUGCCUCUGAGAAGGUUACAGACCUUGGGAGAAAGCGCUUUCACCUCCUCACCACAGACACUCUCGACUGUGGACUCAGGACACUAAGCCAGAAAGGUGACGAUUUCCUUCUUGAACCCGGCCUGCAUCAGCAGCUCAGACCCAGGGCUCCGGGUCCUUUGCUCUAUGUCCAGUGCUCUUUUUGCUCCCUCACACACUUAGCGAUGGCAGUGUUCUUAGUAUACUCAAAGAGCUUUGUAAUGAAUUAGAGCAGCCAUUCCCAACCUUCCUAGUGCUGCGGUCCUUUAAUACAGUUUCUUAAGUUGUGGCGAACCAUCCCCCCCACCCCCAACCAUAACAUUAUUCUUGCUGCUGCUGUUAUGAAUCGUAAUGAAACAUUUGAUCUGCAGUACAUCUGAUAUGUGAUUCCCGAGAAAGGGCCAUCAUAUUCCAAGGGAUCGGGACCCACAGCGUGAGAAGCCCUGAACUAGAGAUCCGCCUAAACUGAGAAACAACCUAGCACCUAUCCCAGCCCAUCAAUGUUGUAUAUGGCAACAGAUUCAAAAGCCCAGACUAAAACAUACUCACCAUCCAUGUUACCAGCUCUCACCAUGGGGCAGCAAUGUGGAUUUAGUAAGCAUAGCCCACGGGCACUCAUUUUGAAGACACUAGGAGAACUUCAAAGCCAGGUUUGUUCUUCUGCCUCUGGUGACAUUUUUAAAAUUUCAGCACUGUUUUUUUUUUUAAUUGAUUCUUUGUGAAUUUCAUAUCAUGCACCUCAGUCCUGCACAUCUCCUGUCCCCUCCCUCCCUCCAACCUCCACCCUUCCCCAACAAAGAAAAAUAAGUCCCCACUAUGGAAGCUGUAGUGUGCCAUCGUGUGUCCUUUUGUCCACACUUCUUUGCUUGCAAGUGCUCAUUGCAUUGACUUUGUUGGUCUGGUACGAGUCAGGCCUCUGGCUUCUGCUAUGCUAACGAUGCUAGAACCUUACUGAGACUCCUCUAGGGUAGACUGUUGUCACCCCGUGUGUCAUGGAGACCCUGUAGUUUUGGAUCUGCAGGACUGGCUUCUUCACGUACUCCAGCAGUUCAUUGAUGGGAUAGACGUGGGGUGGGCUAACUCAAAGCCCUGGAUCUGGGCCUGAGAGGUGUCUGAGCUGCUCAGCCCACCAGCUCUCCAGUUCUUGUGGCCUUUGGAUUGGCUCGCCAGCAACCCCCUCUCCCAGGGCUAGCUCUCCUGGCUGACCAGGUCGGUCCUUAUAUUUGCUUUAGGAACCUGACAAGACUGACUAGCCAUCUCUAGCAUUCAGAUAGGUGGAACUUCAUUGUGCUGAAGUUAUGUUUGAGCACCCUCUGCUGGACAAAUCAGAUGCUCUAUGACUACCAACAAUGUACCAGUGGUAUUCGUCUCUUGCAGAUCUGGAAGAAAAUGAAAUUUAGAUGUGAGCGAGCAGUCUCCUUCCUGCUGCUGCAGCUGCAAGCUGCUCCUGCCGCCCAUGCCUUCUCUACUGCCAUGCCUUCCCUACCACAAGGGCCAGAACUCUCACACUGAAAGCCAGAAUAAAUCCUUCCUCUCUUCGGUUGGUUGUUGUCAGGAGAAGGCAGCAGCUGGCAUCAAUGGUGUGGUGAGGAGAGAAUCAAGUUUCCUUCUCCAGUUCAAACAGACGAAAGUGAAGCGACAUAGGCUCAAGGACAGGGUCACUGGGCUAGCGCCACACCAUGGAGCCAAACCCCGAGCCUUCUAAAUUGUGAGCUGGGCAUGGUGGUUCACCCCAGGAAUCGCAGCACUGAGGGAUGAAGGCGAGAGAGUCACUGUGGGUGUGACAUCAGUCUGGCCUGAAGUCUGAGACUGUUUUUUUAAAAAGAAAACAUUUUUUUAUGUCAUAUAUUUAAUUAUAUAAAGAUUCUGUUGUUUUGUUGUUGUUGUUGUUAAAAUUCAGCCAGGAAAUUUCCAUCUGUCUGGUGUUAAUUGGUUGUUUUUCAGCACUAAUUGGGAAAUGAUAUAUUUUUAUUGUUUUAUAAAUAGAGUAAAACCCCUCAGAAACUGCUGGGGAAAUUUAAACAAGGAAAGCAAUUCUAUGUCCUUGCUUGACACCAGUUUGUCCCAGAGGUGACACAACUGUGUAGUUUUUGAAAACACUGGGCAUUUAUAUAUAUAUGAGACAAAACCCCACUGUAUAGCCCUGGCUAACUCGAAACUCACUAUGUAAAUCAGGCUGGGCUUUGACACACAGAGCUCUGCCUUUGCCUACUCAGUGUUGGGAUUUAACACCCACACCACCAUAGCCAGCCUUCUCUCCAAGGGGCAAAUUUCUUUCUGAAGCAACUUCCUCAUUUAUUAACAGUAUUGCUUCCAGACCCCGUGUGUGUGUGUGUGUGUGUGUGUGUGUGUGUGUGUGUGUGUACAGAUAUGUGUUUGCAAGUAUUUAGACACAAGUUGAUGCAGACUACACCAGUUUCAUGAAAUUGUUCCCAUGUCAGUGGCUAGUCUGAGCCUUUUGUACUUGUAAACAGCUGGCUGUAAACUGGGGAUUCCCAUACUCUCCUCUUCAGCCCCAUAAUUAUCAUGGUGAUUUGCAACCUGUAGGUAAUGACCCGUUUGGCUCAUAUAUCAGAUAUUCUGCAUGUCAGAUAUUUAUAUUUUGAUUCAUAACAAUAGUAAAAUUAUAGUUAUGAAGUAGUAAUGUAAAUAGUUACACUGUGGGGGUCACCACAACACGAGGAACUGUGUUAAAUGGCUUCAGCAAUAGGAAGGUUGAGAGCCACUGAUUUAUUAGGUCAUUUCAUGGAUCGUGGGGAUGCUUUCUACUUUCAUCUAUUGUUUAUUACAAAAGAUGUAGACAGACAGAUAGAUAGACAGACUCACAGAUAAAUAGAAAAAUAGAUGACAGAAAGAUAGAAAGUUAGGUAAAAAGAUAAAAAGAUAGGUAGAUGCUAGAAAGAUAGAUAGACUCAAAGACAAAUAGAAAGAUAGAUAAUAGAGAAAGGUGGAAAGAAAAAUAGAUAGAUGAUGGAAAGAUAGGUAGAUAGACUGACAGAAUGA
rnacentral:lncRNA from 1 species